GUACAUUUUAGGUAUAAAAUACAGUUACAUUCAGUCAUUGGGAUCUUGUACCUUUACAUGGUUAUCUUGGAUCUUAUUUUUUCCCCCUUUCCCCUGCCCUCCCUUCACCCCCUCCACCCUUCCCUAUUUGCAAAGACUUUGUUUCCACUUUUUUCCUUUUCUCAUAUUUUUUCUUUUCCCUUCUUCCCUUUCCCCUACCCCUCCCACUUCCCCUGCUCCUUUAGACCUUUUCUUCCUACUACACAAUAUCAAUUAUACAUUUUAAAAAUUACAAUAUCAAGAUCUAGGAGACAUCACCACAGAUUUUACAGAAAUUAAAGGGAUAUAGAAAGCAUAUUACAAAAAUCUUUUUUGAAAUAAAUUUGACAACUUCUAAGAAGUACCGUGGAAGACAAAUUAAUGAAACUAACUCUGGAGGAAAUAUAAAAUUUGAAUUGCACCUAUUAAAGAAAGUAUAUUCCUAGCUUGAAAACCUACCUAUAUGAUAACAACAGGCUCAUAUACAUUUUAACUGAUAAAUUAUAUCAAACAUUUACAGCAGAAAAAAAAAGGAACACUUCUCCCCUCAUUUUAGGAAAUCAACAUUGUGCUAAUACUAAAACUGGAUAAAGAUAAUAGAAGAAAAAAGUAUGAACAUAGAUAGAAAUUUGUUUAAUAGAACAAACUAUUAGAAGUCAGAUCUGGCAGUAUGUAGAAAGUGGUUUUAUUAUAGGGAUGGCAGUGUGAUUCAGCAUUGGAAGAUCUACCCCCAAAAGUCAUCAUUUUAACAGAGGAAAGGGAAAAGCCAUAUGAUCCUGUCACUAGUUGGAGAAAAAGUAUUGGACUAAAUUCUACAGCUAUUCAUGGUAAAAGCUAUCAGGACACUAGAAGUAGAACAGAACCUCUUCAACAAAUCAAAGACAUGUUCUCCAUACUUCCAGAAAAAAUGCCUUAUAUGAAUGGAGAAGAUACAAUGCUUUCUCCCUAUGGUGGGGAACAAGGGCAGAUAUGCCUACUCUUCAUCUGUCCAUUAAACUUUGAAACAUAGGCCCAAACCAAAAUUGUCUGGCAAUAAAAAUAAACAAAUAGCAUAGGAUUGCCAAGGUAGAAGUAAAAUAUUUAUAUGUAGAUGAAACAAUCAUCUACAGAGAAAAUACUAAAAAAUCUCUAGGAGCCCCUAGAACUUGUAUUUGAAUUUAGCAGGAUUAGAAAACAUAAGGUACAUAUAAAAAUUUAGCAGGAUUAUAAAACACAAGGUAUAUAUAUGUAUACUUGCUAUAAAUGAAGAAUUGGAUAUUGAAAUUUAAAAGUUAUGUAGGAGUACAAAGGACCUAGAAAAGUAAAAGGAAAAAGAAAAAGAAAAAAAAACAGUGUUGGAAGACAUUUAGUACCUAAUUUUAAAACUUCCUCUAAAACUACAGCAAUCAAGGCAGUAUUGGUGUAAGUAAAGGCAUAUGUAUCAUUGGACUAAAACUGAGAAUCUAGAAAUAGAACCACACAUAUAUGGUCCACUGAGUUUUGAAAGAUUAUUUAACAUUAACAUUUUAUAAAACAUAAACUCAAUUCAAGAGCAGAGGAAAAGUUGUUCUAAAAGUUGCUAAUAAAUAAAGAUAUAACUGGGGGAGGAUGAAGGAAUAGCUAACAAGCACUUUUAUGUAGAAGUAAAAAAAAGGUAAGCAGUUAAAAUUGUUGAAAUUUGCUUUCUUUUGAAAGAGGGAAUGAGAAGGUGCAACAGGAGACUACUGUUUCUCAUUAUAAAACUUUUAUACUGUUUAAUUUUUAAAGCCAUUUCAAAUUAAUACUUUCAUUAAAAUUAAACUUUACCCUGAACAUUAGAAACUAUACUAUUUCAACAAUAGUGGGGGGAAAUACUGGUUUUUACACUUAUGUCAAUGAAAAUAAAAUGACCUGGAUAGUGUAGAAAAGACUAAUAGCAAAUAAAAGUUGUGAUUAAAAAAUGAUGGUGAAUGCUUAAACUUUCUAAAAAAAUUAUUACAAUAAAAGAUAAAUUAUUCUUAAUCCCCCUCAAAUUAUUCCCCUUUGCUUUAAACACAUUUAUUCCAUUAUUCUUGCCACUUGUGCUUCAGAAAGUGGUAUAGACAAUGGGAUAAAUUUGUUCACAGCAGCCAGGUUUGGUGGAGCAUGCUGCUAAUCCUAGCACUCUGGAAGAGUAAGGCAGGAGAAUUGCCAAUUCAAGCCCAGCUUGGGCAACUUAACAAUUUAAUGAGACCCUGUUCUCUAACUAAAAGAUAACAAAAGCUGAGGACAUAGUUCAUUGCAAAAGUCUUGAGUUCAAUCUUCAUUACCUCAAAAAAUUUGUAUAUUUAUAUUCAAAGCAAGGGACAGUAUUUUGAGGAGGAUUAAUGGCAAUGCAUCUUUUACUGUAAUAUUUUCUUAAUUUAAAUGUUCACCAUGUAUUUUAUCAUACCGUUCUUUGGAUCAUUUUCUCCAGAAAUAUAGUUUCAUUCAGAUGGACGUUACUUGGAGAACCUACCUCAGAAUGGUGACCUUCACUGUGGAAGAAACACUUAAGGGUUGAACUCUGCAGAGUUGUACUGCAGGUUCCAGCUGCCCUUCCCCUGAAGAUAGUCCUGGUCCUGAUGGGAGGUGAAGAUGACUCCAGCUUACCCAGUACAGUGGUCUGGUGGUCCGAUGUCCUCUGCGUCUUUGUAGUGUGGAACCAGGUGUCUGUACAGAGGAGUGGGGGUGGGGGAUGGGUGGGGGUGUGUCUCCAGUGGAUUGCUGUCAGGGCACGGGCUGAUUCAGCUCUUUCAGUGUGACUCGAGACGUUGUUACGGCGUCCCGAAAGUAAAUAGUAUCAGCUUACAUCUGUUAGGAUGUUCACUCUCAAAACAAUAGAAAAUAAAAUUGAUGAGGGCAUGGAGAAAUUGGAAUCCUUGUGCACUAAUUAAGAUUGUAAAAUGGCACAACCACCAUGGAAAGCAAUAUAUGAUUUUAUUUUUAAUAUUCCCUAACUGUAAACAAUCCUGAUUUUCUUCAAUGGGUGAAUGAUCAAGUCAACUGUGCUGUGGUCUGGAUGCUGAGUGUCCCCUAAGGGCCAUAGGUUACAGCUUUGGUCUCCAAGAUGGUACUGAUGAGAGGCACUGUGGAGCUUCAGGAGGUGGAGCCUGUGGGAGAUCUUGAGAUCUUUGGGGUUAUGCCUCCAUAAGGGUUGUGAGUCCCCAGUUUGUCCUCUUCCUCUUUUUUAUUGCUUGUGAUGCAAACAGUUUCCUCUACUGCAUAUUUCUGCCAUGAUGUGCUGCCCUCAGUCUUGGACUGGAACCUCCAGAACUGUGAGUCAAAAUUAACCUUUCUUAUUAUGACUUAACUGCCUCCAGUAUUUGGUUAUAGUAAUGUGAGGCUCAUACACUGUAGAACAUCCGCACCACAGAAUACUCUUCAAAAAGAAAAAGGAGAGCACUUCUGAUUCAUCAUCACUUGGAUAAAUCUCUAGAGAGUUAUGCUGAGUAGGAAAACGCCAAUUCCAUACAUAUAUCAUGCUUCAAAUGACAGAAUUCUAGAAAUGGAGAACAGAUUAGUGGUCAUCUGGGAUUACAGGUUAGGAGGAGAGAUACAGUUGAGGAUACAAAAAGACAACACCAGAGACCUUUGUGCUGUUGAAGGUGCUCUGUAUCUUGACUCUAGUGGUACAUACAUGAACCACUCUAUAAAGACCAUAAGUUUAUAUACCCCACCUCCAACAUCUGCAUGCAUCAUGCAUGUACGCAUUUUGAUCUUAUCAUAUCCUGUGGAACUAAAGGAUUCUGGAUUUCUGAAAAUGGAACCAAAUAUAAUUAGCCUGUCAGAUAAGAUAUAUAGACAAACAUGAUUGAUGGAUAUAUAGAUAUAUCAUAGUAAACUAAUAAGUGAUUGCAGGCAACAUAGAGGAUGAAAAAGAUUACCCAGAGAUUAGACUUAGUUCAGUUACCAAGAGGUGACUUGUAUGUUUUCGCUCCACAUUUUAACCACUCAUGCCUCAUAGAGUCUAUGUGCUUUUGUCUUGCAGUUUAGUUAUUCAGUUUAAUCAUUCACUCCUGGCUAGGUUCCCCACAUAGAUAGAUGAUAGAAAUAGACAGUACAUGGAUGGAUAGAGAGACUGAGACAGAUAAGACAGAUGGAUAUAUUCAUCAAAUAAGUGCAUUGUUUCAAAUCUAAGAAGGAUGAGAAAGAAUUUAUACGCUGAAAAUACUUUUUAGAGUCCCUAGCAGUGAAUUCAAAAUUGAUUCCCUUCUGGAUUCAAAUACCAAAGCUUAGUUUUUUCACAAGUCUUAAAAAUCAACUUUAAAACUAUUUGUUCUAUUAAUAAAGCAGAUACUAUUUAAAAUAACAAUAAUUUCCUUCCUGGUUAAUUUAUAUUCAGAUGUAAGAUUAAUUUCUCCAUAAACAAGUAAUCUUUUUACAAAAUUUUCAAACUACAUUUUCCUAAAAUGAUAAAAAUAUAUGGAAAAGGAGUUUGACCCAAUGGCAGACCAGCUUGUUUCACACUAAACUCUCACUAAAAAGAACUGCAGAGGAGAAUUUAUAGGGUAUUUCCUUACAGUAUUGACACUACAUGUUGGCAAGGAUCAGAGCUCCUGAACCUCAUUCUAUAGGAGAGGAGGAACUGCUACCACCACCAAGGAAAAUUCUUUGCAGUACUUAAACUUUAUGGCACAGAAUUCUUUCUACCAGCCUGUAUACUGCAGAAAUGUCUGCACCUGGGUCAGAAAGCACAUAUGAGAAAGUUCGUAGUAGCAUCAUUGAGAAUAUUCAUCUCUACUCUCUGAUGGGUUUGUAGAUCCAGAAUGGGAGAGAUGGAUACCCUGGUUUCCUGCUUUGUAAAUGGCCCAUCCUCAUUCAGCCCACCUGAUACAGGCCUCUCCUGCACCUCCAACCUCCGUCAAUCUGGAGACAGUAAGUUGGCAGCAGUCUUCAUGUCAGAAUUUAAUGCCUUCAGUCCAAGUGCUGGGAGCAUAUGACACAGGGAGAAAAGCAUAUCCCUUUCUCCCCUUCCCAAAAUAUGGGGAGAAAAACAAAUGGUCUCCCUCUUAGAAUAUUGUACUCCUCUCAUUGUGACUGACUCCUCCUUCAAUCACUGAUGAAAUCAAGAUCAAGAAGAUCAUUAAGGAUAGGGGUAAUUUGUUUGAACCACAUUCAUACUCUAAGGGCUGCCUGUGUACCUGAGUGGUCAUAAUUGCAGACUUGUUGAAGACUUGGACUCGUAGCUCCCUCUCAGACAUCCUGCGUUGGACACUUGGGUGUGGGCACAACAACCAGUUUCAAGAGAUUGUCAGGUCAUUCUGCUGGUGCUGAUCUGCUAAAAACUGCUGCUGAGAAUACUUGGGACUUCUUAUAGCAUAAGGGCUCUAUAAAAAUGUGCCAGGAAGUAAAGAAAACCAGUCCACUAUCACAUGGCUCCAUGUUGGUUCAAACAGAUAUGAUUUUUCACUAAGCAACUUAAUUUUUUCUCACUUACUACUUAACUAAAAGAUAAAUGGCAGUAAAUUUACUAUUACUUUAGACAAGUUAUAAAAUUAUAAGCCUACGGAAAGAAAUUUAAAAAGAGCCUAACUUUCAUGGAAGAAAAAUGGAAAGUAAGAAAGAACAGCCCUCAAUCAAUUAAUUGCAACUCAAUCCAAAUUUAACAAAUAUUUAUAGAAGUAUCAUUAUAAGCUACAGUGUAUUAGAAAUCAUUGAAUGAACAAAUAAUACUAUUUGACACCAUUGCUUCACAGAUCCGAAAAUAUUCUCAGAAGAAGUGUGUGUGUGUGUGUGUGUGUGCAUGUGUGUGUGAAAGGUGGCCCCCAGUGACCUCCGGGGGAGGACAUUAGUGAGAACUAGAAACAGAAACCUGGGAUGUAUUAGUCUGAAGAGUGUAGGAAAUGAGGAAAUAGAGAUAACAGAAAUUAAACAUGUCUACCAACAGGAAAAUAAUAAUCUCACACUGUGUUGGGUUAAUUAAUAUGAAUUUAGUAUACAGAAUCAAUAGGAAGGCAUGAAGAGUAGAACAAGAUUAAACAUGAAAAAGUACUAAGAAAUCUAUUUUGGUCAUCUAAGUAAAGGGGGAUAAAAGCUUGAGAAGAAUCCAGACUAGACCAAAAAACUUCAUAGUAGAUACUAUAAUUAAGUAAAUAUGUAAUAACUAGAAAAUUAAUUUUAAAACAUGGGCAUUAAUGGAGUUCAUGGUCAAAAGCAUUCCAUUGAAAAGACCUUUUACUUAAGUUCAUUUUAAAUAUAAUUUUGUUCAUACUGGUAAUUUAUGUUAUGGAGUUAUAUUUAGUAUCCCUCAUCUCAUGCUAAAAGUGCAUUUGAUCAUUUUGUACACAAAGAUAAAACUACAUACAAGGCUUACCAUGGCUUAAUGACCACAGAAACUUUUAUUUCUAGAGGUUUAUGAAAAUGUGAUCAUGAAAACAAAUGAGUGAUUGAUUUUUCUUUCACCUAAAUAUCAUGGCAGUGAAUGCCCUUGAAUGUGUUCUUUUAACAUCCACCACACAAGCAUUAUCUACUUAUAUAGAUUCAUUGAUGAAGAAUAGUAUAUGACCUAUAAUCUUUUAACCUUUAGUGGAGGUAUAAUAAAAGAUAUGAAGCACAUCAAAAUUUUAAGGCUUUAAGUGAGAUAUUGUGACAUUUUAGAAAUUUAUACAUACAUAGCCUCCAAAAAUACUUGUAAUCCUAAUCCCUGAAAGCCAUCAAAUAAUCUUAUUUUAAGAUGCAAUUCCAUUAAAGAUCUCAAGAUAAAAUCAUCCCGGAUUAUCUGAGUGAUCCCUAAAUCCCAUAUCCUUAAAAGAAAAAGAAGAGAAGACUGAGAAGAGGAAGGGGCUAUGUAAGAAUGGAGUAGAAACUGGAUUUAGAUGCCACAAAUUGAGGAACACUUGGAGCCCAAGAACCUGAGAGGGAUGGCAGAUUCUCCCAUAAGGCCUUUCUGGGGAGGGCAGCCCUGCAAAGCCUUCACCUCUGACCCCCAGAAAUGGGAAAGAAUAAAUAUGUCUUGCUUAACUCACUAAAUUUGUGAUAUUUCUUAUAGCAUCUACAGAAAAUAAAUACAUAUAAUAAUUUUUCAAAUCUGGCAUACAAAGUAUAUAAACUCUUUGCUGACAUUCAUUCAAAUGCAAUUCACUCAUCCUCAUCUGGAUUGAAAUUUGCACUGUGUCUUUUUUCCCUUUACCUCUAGUCCUCUGUUGAGGCAAAUAGAUAAGAAAGAUGCCCAAAGCAAUUUUCAGGAGAAUUUCCUUAAGCAAGGAGAGUGCAUAAGAUUGUACCUUAUAACUUUAGCUAAAAAAUCUGAAGCAAAGGAUAGCAAAGGAAAUGGACCAAGUAUCCGCACUCUGUUUUCCCUCUGCAGGACUGGGUUUACUAUUUGUUCCAUAAAAACAUUGAGGCUUUUUGUGAUACAAAUCCUAGGGAAAAAGAAGAUGAACAUCAGACUUGCUAGAUUAUUCCUUCUGUGAGGCAAUUUUUUUUGUCAUUAAAUAUAGAUGUAGGGUAUUUACUAAUAAUCACCAAUAGUAUUUGGAAGACUAUCUCUGCCCUUUACAGUUGUCUUGACUUUUUUUUAAACAAAGUUCUGAUAUAGUUAAAAAGAAAAUGUUUAUGAUGAGAAAGAAGCAGGGUGAAAGAACCAGCAAAUAAUUCUUAAAACAUCACCAUCCUGUGGGACCAUUAUAUACAAGUAAUGACGACACAAAUGAAAGAAAAGCCCAAGCCUGGACCAGCAUGUGGGUAGAAGUGUCCCCAUACCUAUGGCGUGGAUGGCUCAACAACACGGCACCAUUGGCAAAUCACAGGCACAUUCCUUUCCUUGGCUCUGUAGUCAAGAGACACAGUGAUGCCCACACAAGCACUUCACACUGGGGCCAGUCAUGGCAGGGAAAGGAUGGUGCCUCACAGAUGCCUUUGCCAUGUGACUUGUCACCAUGGCAGCCCCAUUCAUUUGGGUUAGUGGCAAAGUUUCCAACAAAUUUAAUUUCAAAAAAACCGAAACAACACAAUGCACACCACUCCUGUACUGGAUUUACCUGGACUGAGAUGUCUGGAUUUGCUUCAUCAGACCCUAACAUACUUUUAUGAAGGGAAACUGUAGCAUUUUUUCAGAUUUCCAUUUGGUGUGAGACUAAGCCUCUGGGACAUGGUAGGAGGGUUCAGUACCCCAUAGAAGAGAGAAGACUGGAGGGGAAGCCACGGAGCCUGACUAGAAGGGAGGACCUCACUCGCGGUGGUUCUCAGAUCCUCACCAGGAAAGGACUGGGAUUCUUCAGGACACUGGCAGACGUAAGUGCAGCACACACAAGGGUUCAACUUUCAAUAUUUGCAGGAACUCCUGAGAAGCCCCUGAAAGUUACCUUUUGCCACAUCCAUAUUUUUCAUGCUAAAUAACUUCCCUACAGAAUAUGCACAUAAAAAUCAAAUGUUGCUUAGAGGGCUAUCAUGGCAAAUUUGUAGGAAAAUUGACCCACCAAGAGCUCAUAAUGCUAAGUGAAACAUAUCAGACACAGAGGUUAAGUAUCAUAUGGUUUCUUUCAUAUGAAGAACCCAAAGUAUAAAUAAUUUAAAAGUAAAAUAGAGGAUAAAUGACAGGAAACAGGGAGAUAGUCUACGUGGAGAUAGGAAGGGGAUCUUAGGAUGGGGAAAACAGGAAGGAGGGGACUGGCAGAGGAAAUAAAGAAGGAUCAAGAUGUGACAAGUAUAUAUACCAAUGCACAGUGAAUGUAUUUAUUAUGUAUUGCAAACAUUAAUACAAAAAUAAACAUCAAUAGCAUCCUUUUCUUCACUUAUUUUAAUUCUAAGGGCACAAUCUGCUGAUCAUUAUUUUUCUUUUUUCUUUUAAUCAGAUUGAUUCAUAAUCAAGAAAACUCAGUUUGUAUGUACAUUGGCCUGCAUCCAGGAAUAUGUCCAACCUGCUUUACCAUUACACUGUUGGGAGUAAAUCCAUGAGAAUAAUACUGCUGUAACAUGAAAGGGAAAACCAAUGUGGCAGGGUGACUGUGUGGGGGACCUGAUCAGAUACAAGUGUGACCAUGUCCAGGCUGAGCCCAUUCUGAAACAACCAUGGACUAGAUCUAGAGUCUUAAAAAUGUCCUUUUUGUUCAGUUCUGGCGAUUGAACCCAGGGGCUUCAGACAGAGCUACAUCCUCAGAUAGACAGACAGACACACACACACACACACACACACACUUUUCUUUGCCCAAACUGGGCUCAAAAUUACAAUCCUCCCCCUACCACCCAAAGUACUGGGAUUACAGGGGUGUGCCACCAUACCUAGCUAAAAAUGUCCAUUCCUUUUGACCAUGAAUAAAAUUCUAUGAAUACAUUUUUCAAAGGACCACAGAUGUGGGAAAAUAUUUAUGUGCCUGUCUAUUUAUUUUGGCUGAUUUAUAAUAGCUUUGUCUUUACUAAUAGGUGGAUAUAAAGAUGCAUAAAUAAUGCACAAUCAUAAUUUUAAAUUAAAAUUUAAAAAUUGAGAGAAUUAUAAAUGAUUUAUUACAUAUUUUAUAAAGAACUAGAAGAGAAGACCUUGACCAUUUUCGGCAUAAAACAAUAAUAAAUGUUUAAGGAGAUAGAAAUGCUAAUUAUCCUGAUUUGAUUGUUUAUACACUAUAUUCAUAUAUCAAAUUAUCACACUGUAUUGCAUAAAUAUAUACAAUUAGUAUAUGGAAGUUAAAAUAAAAAUAUAUAAAAAUGCUUAUGACAUAAUGGUACAUGAAAUAAGUCAGUAAGCUAAACAGUGUUGUCUUGAUUCCCUAUGAGCACAAAACACAUCUAUGCAUGAAUCUAAAUUGCAUGGAAUGAGAGUAGUUACUUGUGGAUGCAAUGUAGACACUCUUAUUUCAGCCUCUCUUUUUUGACUUUUAAUAUUUCUAGAAUAUAAAAUAAAUACCUCUCACUUUUAUAACCAGUUAACUCAUAUUGAAUUUAAGCAGAUGUUUUUAUUCAAAAUAUUUUGCUGCUGCAUGGAAAAAUAAAGUCAUAUACUUUACUUCCAUCUAGUGGAUGCAGGAGAAAUUACAAUUUGAAUCUAAAAGUUUUCCUUAAUAUUUUAAAACUUAAAAAAAAAAUGGAGGCAGAUGAGAAUAGGAGCAGAAGAGGAGAGGAGAAGAGAAGAGAAUAGAAGAUAAGAGAACCACAGGGAACACAGCUAUAUAAAAUACUGUACACAAAGCCCCAAAACUUGAUAAUUUAGACAAAAUGGCAUCACUAUGGCUUGUACAGAUUAUGCAAUCUGUUUUGAUAACAAUCCUUAAUUUGGCUUUCAUAACUAAUAUUGGAUUUCCUCUCUUCAUCCACAAUCACCAGUGCCCACCCCUCCCAUCUGUACCUGCAGCUCCCACUGGUUCUCCCUGCCCUGAGGGACAAACACUAGGGCACUUCUGAGCUCCUGUCUGGAUUGACCCUUCCCAAAGGGGGACUCGGCCCUCCUCCUACCUCCUUCAAAUAAAUUCUUCUCCCUGACCUUGUGGCCUCUAUGACUUUUCUUUGGAGAGUUCUCUCUGGUCCUUAAAAAGAGUAUAUCUGCAUCCUAACAUGUAUCUUGAAAACCUAUUAGGACUUUAUUUUUUAUUUUUUAUUUUAACAUAAUAUAACUAGAUAUUAAUAAAAAAAUAUAAAAGCUGUUCUAAGAAAAGAUAAUUUUUCAUAACAAAAAUAAUUAGAGAAUAACAAUGGUAAAUACACUGUGUAUCAUGAUAUUAAAAAUAUGAUAUUUUCAUUUGCUAAUCUAUCUCAAUGCAUUUCCUAAUAAUACUGUAACUUUUGUG
rnacentral:lncRNA from 1 species